CUUCACCGAGCCGAGCCAGAGCGGCCGGUCCGCCGGUCGGCCCUGCCCGUACGUCGACAGCAGCGCCUGGGCCUC
rnacentral:antisense_RNA from 1 species